AUUGAACGCUGGCGGCAUGCCUUACACAUGCAAGUCGAACGGCAGCACGGGAGCAAUCCUGGUGGCGAGUGGCGAACGGGUGAGUAAAGUAUCGGAACGUGCCCAGUCGUGGGGGAUAACGUAGCGAAAGUUACGCUAAUACCGCAUACGAUCUAUGGAUGAAAGCGGGGGAUCGCAAGACCUCGCGCGAUUGGAGCAGCCGAUAUCAGAUUAGGUAGUUGGUGGGGUAAAGGCUCACCAAGCCGACGAUCUGUAGCUGGUCUGAGAGGACGACCAGCCACACUGGGACUGAGACACGGCCCAGACUCCUACGGGAGGCAGCAGUGGGGAAUUUUGGACAAUGGGCGAAAGCCUGAUCCAGCCAUGCCGCGUGCAGGAUGAAGGCCUUCGGGUUGUAAACUGCUUUUGUACGGAACGAAAAGGUUUGGCCUAAUAAGCUGAGCUCAUGACGGUACCGUAAGGAUAAGCACCGGCUAACUACGUGCCAGCCGCCGCGGUAA
rnacentral:rRNA from 1 species